rnacentral:rRNA from 1 species
AUUGAACGCUGGCGGCAGGCCUAACACAUGCAAGUCGAACGAGUGGCGGACGGGUGAGUAAUGUCUGGGAAACUGCCUGAUGGAGGGGGAUAACUACUGGAAACGGUAGCUAAUACCACAUACCAUCAGAUGUGCCCAGAUGGGAUUAGCUAGUAGGUGGGGUAACGGAUCACCUAGGCGACGAUCCCUAGCUGGGCUGAGAGGAUGACCAGCCAGACGGGAACUGAGACACGGUACAGACUACUACGGGAGGCAGCAGUGGGGAAUAUUGUACAAUGGGCGCAAUCCGGAUGCAGCCAUGCCGCGUGUAUGAAGAAGGCCUUGGGGUUGUAAAGUACUUUCAGCGGGGAGGCGUUACCCGCAGAAGAAGCACCGGCUAACUCCGUGCCAGCAGCCGCGGUAAUAC